UAUUGAUGCCACUUUAAGGUGUGGUAUUUUAAUCCAUCAAUGAGCAAUUGGGUCUCCUUAAAAAUGAAAAAUGAUGAGUCGCUUAAAAAUUAUGUGACUUUCAUGAUUUUGGAAGUAUGAAUGUAGGCUCACUGUUGAAAAUUGGAGGCAUGUCUAUCUAGUUUCCUUGUGUAUGCCUAUAAAUUGUAAGAUUUUCCCUAAAUGAUGCAUGUUUAUGAAAGCUAGUGUUAUGCUAGAAAUUGAAAUCUAUGUGAAAUGACUUCCUAUUAUUGUAAGUGUGUGGUGUGAUUUACCAUUUUGACUUCACUAGGAAGAAAGUUUGAGCAUGUUUUGGUUUAAAAGUUGGGAACUUCUCAUUUAAAAUGAAUUGACCUUUGUGCCUUUCUUGGGUAUGAACUCAUGAGGCAUAUAAGUAUGUUGAGGAGAAGGACAUUACUCCCUAAACAUAACUAAGCAUGGUAUGGUUGAGUAUGACCCUCAUGGAAUUAGGCCUAACUAAUAAGAAUCCAUUGUUGAUCUACUUGACCCAAGUCUAUAUGCAUUGAAGCAUGAGUGCCCAAUUGCUUCUUGAGUGUUGUUGAAUUUGCCUAAGUGUGACUUAAAUGUUGUUGAAUAAUGAAGUCUUAGUAAAAUAAAAUGAAAAUGACAAUGUUAUGAUUAGUAGAAGGAUGUUCUUCCAAUGAACAUGACAAGAGCCUAUGUGAAUUGAUGCAUUAAGGAGUGAGUGAAUAAGGUUUUUGCUUGCUUGUGUUGAAUUGAGUUUUAAAUGGUUUGAAGGUUGGUGUUCAUUGUAGGUUUGUACAUUGACUUCUAUGUGAAGAGGUUACGAAUGUUAUGAGCUGCUCUAUGUGUCAUUGAAGUCCUUGGCGUGUUUAAAGUGUUCCAAGUGUUAUUCGAGGAAAAAUAUGCCCAAGUGGGGGAUAUAAUAAUACCCCCCAAAAAUGAGUUAAGGUGUGUAGAGCCUCACAUCAUCAUGUAUGAUUGAUUCGAAGUCAUUUGGAAGUCAAACGUCUAAGAACGUCCAAGACGUUCGAAAGUUAGCCCUUGAGAUGUGCAUGUGUGUCUUGGUAUGUUUUAAGUGUUCGUUUUGGUUGAAAUUUAUAUGGAAUGUCCUUAACUUGUGAAUGAAUGUAUUUAUGUUUGAAACAUCUAGGUACGACUCCCUAGUGUCCCUGCAAGAGGCCCUCAAGGAGUACCCAAAGAUUAUUGAGACACUUCCAAUCGACGCCUCGUGCAUGGGAUGACACCCCGUCAAUGGGGGCGUAUCUCAACACAUAAACAUGUGAGCAUGAGACCCAAAGAAGAAGCCUCACUCACCAUCGACGGAGCACCAGUAAGGGCCGUCAUUCUAUCAAGGCCCUGUCGACUGGUGUCAGUAGGUGCUGCCUGCAAUUUGCAGCAUACACGCUGCCAUGAAAGGGGUGUAUUGGGAAAUUCACUCCACCUCCCAAACUGUCCCUAGGAGGUUAAUUCAUGUAUUUUAUGGUAUAUUAAUUUGAUUUAUAACAUGAAAUCCCAAUACCCAAUUCAUUACUUCAAAAUUAGACUUCCCUCCCAAACCAAACCUCUUCACAAACCUCCAUCGAAGAUGAAGCUCAAGGUCAUCUUGUAGAUGGGAUUGUGAUGGUUUCUUCACCAUGUUUUCCUGGUUCCUUCAUAUAAUAAAGGUUAUGUAUACUUAAAUGGAUGUCUCUAAAGUGAAGGAGCUUGAUAUGUGUUUCCCAAGCUCAAGCAAAGGAAUCCUUAAGUUCAACGAUUGCCUAUGUCAAGUUCUUAUAAAGUCAUGUAAUCGUUAGUUAUGUUUUAUGUUAUACGGGUCGUGUCCUUAAUGUACUAUAAUAAUUUUGAAUCUAAGAUGGAAAAGAGACUUAUAGUCU